GCAAGUCGAGCGGCAGCGCAGGGUGCUUGCACCCUGGCGGCGAGCGGCGGACGGCUGAGUAACGCGUAGGAACGUACCCUAAAGUGAGGAAUAACUGCCCGAAAGGGUGGCUAAUGCCGCAUGUGCUCUUCGGAGUAAAGCUUCGGCGCUUUGGGAACGGCCUGCGUCCGAUUAGCUAGUUGGUAAGGUAAUGGCUUACCAAGGCUACGAUCGGUAGCUGGUCUGAGAGGAUGACCAGCCAGACUGGGACUGAGAACGGCCCAGACUCCUACGGGAGGCAGCAGUAGGGAAUUUUCCACAAUGGGCGAAAGCCUGAUGGAGCAACGCCGCGUGCAGGAUGAAGGCCUUCGGGUCGUAAACUGCUUUUCUCUGUGAAGAUUAUGACGGUNACAGAAGAAUAAGGAUCUGCUAACUACGUGCCAGCAGCCGCGGUCAUACGUAGGAUCCAAGCGUUAUCCGGAAUUACCGGGCGUAAAGAGUUGCGUAGGUGGCAUGGCAAGUUGGUGGUGAAAUCGUGUGGCUCAACCACACUCACA
rnacentral:rRNA from 1 species